CUGCCCUUAGCUCAGCUGGAUUAGAGCAACAGCCUUCUAAGCUGUAGGUCCCAGGUUCGAAUCCUGGAGGGCAGGCCA
rnacentral:tRNA from 1 species